rnacentral:misc_RNA from 1 species
GCGUUCAUCUACGAAGAACGAAAUGUGGCCAUAGCGAUGACCUUGAGGUAGUAGAGAAUUUCGAUAUUGACGUUUACAAAGCCUUUUCCUAUUGGUUCUCCCCACCGCUUGUCACUCAGGACGUCAAAAGUGUCAAAUAUCUCGCCGUUAUAAUUUUCAUCAUUACAAGUGUUUGCGUUGAUUAAUUUCCGUACCUUUAUUUCUCCGUAAUAAUUGUGAUAUUCAGUGCUACUUGGCAUUUUGAUCUUCAAAAUGCUUCGCAAGUGCUGUAUACCCGGCUGUGAUAGCAGUAAUAAACGAAAAGACGUUAUGCUGCACAAAAUGCCAGCAGCCAGUGAAAAAGUGACAAUGUGGUGUAUAAAUCAGCAGUUUUCAACAUGUUGGAAAGUUUGACAUCAAAUGAAAUCGGCAAACUGUACGUUUGCCACAAACACUUCGAAGCCUAAGCCUAACACGUGUCCAACAUUAUUUACCUACUGAAGAAGAAAUCACUACGGGAACACCGGCUCACCCUUCGGUUGAACGAGGAUUCAUUGAACUUGAAAUGAGGAACUCUGACCACUCGUAUGCAAGGAGAUGUCAUAUUGACCACACUUAUGCCAUGAGCGUACCAACAAAUAAUUCAGAUGAUGCUGCUGUUUUACCGCCAUACAUCACAACUGGAGCUGAUUCAGGUGGAGUUACACUGGAACAUAUUACAUCGAGUGUAGAACUGUCUAUUGAGCCAUCAUCCUGUCUUAAUUCAGAGCGCGUCCAAUCCAGCUCAAGUCAAGCCUGCUCGUCGCAGCUGUGAAGUCAUCGUUUGAGCCAACUUCACCACAAACAGUGGUGGACUCAUCAAAGUCUAAUGUGGCUCAGGCUUGCGUCACAACUCCGGGGCCAUCUGUCAAUUACAAUGACCUUCCUAAAGAGCCAGCACGAGCAUCGGGUGUUGAAGAAAAAAACACGCGAAAACGAAAUUUGAACUUUCUUCGAUAUUUUGACGUGCGUUACGUAUAUUGUGCAUAUAGACGACACUAUGCACUUAAAUGGCCAAAGUCUUAGUGUAGUGUAUGACCCGCCACAUUUAAUCAAAGGAGUAAGGAAUAACUUCUUGACGAAGAAUAUUAUAAUGGACGUCGAAGUGGCAAGACUUGGUGGACGUGUACCGCAUGGACUGCCGCCACGCGCAAGCUCGCCUGCUGCGCAAGCUCAACGACGAGCACAUACUCCCGGACAAAAUCAAUAAAAUGAAGGUGAAAAACUGUGUGCGUGUUUUCAGUCAAACCAUGGCAGCAGCUUUAUCCUACACAGCUUCAUUUUCGCACUACGCGGACGGCACGCCUGUGAACGCUACGCUGUACAAAACGGCAGAGCUGGUGGCCUUCCUCGAUGACCUGUUCGACAGCGUCAACGGCGCCAGCACCCACCAAAAGCAUACAAAGGGAAAGCAAUUGCGGACUGCCGUAACUGAAAACUCAAAACAACGAUUUCUGGAUGAAGACGAUAGAAUUCCGUGAUAUCAACGGAAAAUUGACAAAAGUUCCGACGUUGAAAAAUUGGUUGACAACUUUAAAAAGCUACCAAAGGCUGUGGCAGGUCAUGAACGAAAAAAAACAUCAAGAUAAUGCGCCCGCGGUAUUUUAAUUCCGACGCAAUAGAAUUUUUUUUCGGAAGAGUGCGGGCUUGCAACGCCAGAAAUAACGACCCUCCAUGCU